rnacentral:misc_RNA from 1 species
UAUUUAAUUUAUUUAUAAUAUUAACAAUAAGUGGUAAUGAUUGCAAUCAUUGAUAAUUGAGUGAUAGUUAUGGCUAAGUGGUGGUGGUGGUUGUAACAGCAGUAGUUAGAUGGUGGUGGUAGUGUCAAGGUGAGGUAGUGGUGGUGGUAGUGGCCAGGUGGUGGUAGAGAUGACACUAGCUAAGUGGUAAUAAUGGUGGCCAAGUGACAGUGAUAGCAAUAGUGAAAGUGGUAAUAAGAUGGUGAUGGUGGUGGUAGUGGUGGUAGUUGUAGUGGUGGUAAUAGUAGUAACAGAGUAGAAGUGGUAGUGGCAAUAGUAAUAGUGGCUGAGUAGUGGUGGUAGUGAUAAUAUUGAUAAUAAAUAAA